ACAUUCGUAGGAAGAGAGAGAAGUCUUGGACCAUGUGUGUAAUUCGAGCGUGGGACUGUGCAAUUCUCGGAUUGGGAAAGGGAGGAGUGGAAAUAACCCCGGCAGUGCCAGGCUUGCUGGUGGUCAGGAACAGAUGAUUCCAGCCCUGUGCUGAUCGCCUGCCUUCCUCCUGCCAUUCAGAAUGCUGCUGUCUCGUGUACUUACUGUUAAGGAUCCUGGAAAAGGGAGUGGUUCCUCCUAGCUGCAAACAAGGGCGCUACUUUUCUUUUCUCUUUAAUAGAAUUACGUUUUAUAGGUGUGUCUAGGCAACACAAGGGAAUGUGAAAGACUUUCAGAGGGAAUGUUUGUGAAUACAUCUGGUGUGUACUAAAAAGCUGGAAAACCCCUAAGUAAAUGCAAUAUCGAUAGAAAGCGAGUUUCUUGAAGAGUCAUCUGCUAAACUCCACUAGAGUCAUCUCUACAGAUGCAACUGACUCACUUAAAAUAGCUGUGUGGAUAUAGAACUUUUAUCAACUACUAUUUACUAAAUUAUAUUGGUGUGUUUGUCCUCAUCUUAGAAUAGCAUAUCAAUAGAUGCUAUAAAAACAUAAGAGGGUGUGGUUAAGAGAAAAAAAAAUUGCCAUUAAGGAAUCAGCAAAUAGGAUGUCUGAAGUGAGGAUAUAGCACCUAUCUCUGAGAUUAAAGUCAUCUGAUCAAAAAUGAUGCCUCUGAGACUAUAACAAAGGAAUGAAUAAUGAAAUAUAAGAAUGGGGAUUCUGCACUAACUCUAUGGGGAAGAAAACAAUGUCUCUGUUCAUCAUGAGAAAUGCUCAGCGACUGCAGACAUAAAGAGAAAGCUUUCAAUUAAAGUUUCAAUGAUGGGAUAGGAACUGAGAAGUCUGUGGAGUUUUCUGCCUAGGAGUACCCUUGGAAAAGCCACUGCUAUGCCCAACCAGCACUGGGAAUCCCAGAUCACAUGCAAUCAUAGGAGUUGCCCUGGAGGCAGAAGCUCAGCACAUGUUCUGGUACAAGGAGAUUACAGUGUUGUGCAAAGCAAAGGGAUGAAUGAUGCCCAACUCUCUAACAUGGGCCUCGGUUUCCACAUCGAGGUUGGAAAUGAGCUAGGAAGCAGAUCCACCAUAAAUGGAGAAAGAAGAGAAACAAGUUGAGCUUUUAAUGACCCCGUAGCCUGACUCUUUGGUAUGGAAAUGGAAAGAGAUCCUCAUGGAAACAUAAAUAAAAUAUAUCACAUGUAACUUAUACCAAUAAUUAUUUUCUCCCCCAGUACCUCAAUUUUGCCCAGAUUGGACUCUAUUUUAUUUCCUUAUUUUUCCACAGUAAUUUACUUAAGUAAAACCAGGAUUUAUUUUAUUCAUCUCCAUGUCAGUUGCUAAGUCCAAGGGAUGUAUAUAGUUUAAAAAAUAUCACAAAGGAUGAUAUGGUGAAAUUGAACAACACAUUAUUACCUGAUGUACAGUCAUUGAUUUUGUAUACUAGCCUUUACCCCUGGCUACUGAUAAUUUUGGAUUUUGAAGAUUCAAAGACAGAGACUUGUAAAUACUUUAGUUUUUACACUUCUUUAUCAUACUCAUACCUGGGAUGGAAAAGUAUCAUUUAAUAUAUUAAGAACAUUGUUAUAGUACAUGUAUUUAAAUAACUCACAAGAGCAAGUAAUCUUACCUCAUGUCAUCUAUUUUUGAAAAAAUAUUUUGUGUAUUUCCACAUGCUUCUUCCAGAUGACCUUUAGCAAAACUUUGUGAAGUUUCAUUGUGGCUGUUGUCUUAGAAAGAUGGUCUUGUUAAUAAGGUCAGUGUUUUAGCCUUGCAAUAUAAGAUUAUGUGCAUUUGUUUAGAGGGAGACUUUAGGAUACAGCGAAGUGUUUUACAAAUGUUUACCAUUUUUAUUCUUAUUAGAUUUUUGAAAGUAUUUGGUUUAAAAUUUUCUUCUUUUUAUUCAACCAGCUCUUUAAAUUACCCAUCAAUUCUUGUUAAGAGUGUGUAUUGUAUAUCUCUCUAUACAUUUCAUGUAUUUUUGUAUGAAUUGUGCUAUUUUUAUAAUUUUUCUAUUUAGCCUCUGUAUCCAAUAUGAUUCAAUGUAUACAUGGAUGCCAUACGUAGGUACUGAUUAUUUCCUCUUUUAUUAUUAAUAAAUUCUAAUUUAUUUCAA
ensembl:lncRNA MIR4500HG MIR4500 host gene